GAUGAAGAACGCAGCGAAAUGCGAUACGUAAUGUGAAUUGCAGAAUUCAGUGAAUCAUCGAGUCUUUGAACGCACAUUGCGCCGCCUGGUAGUCCGGGGGGCAUGCCUGUCCGAGCGUCAUUGCUGCCCUCAAGCACGGCUUGUGUGUUGGGCCUCCGUCCUCCUCCCGGGGGACGGGCCCGAAAGGCAGCGGCGGCACCGCGUCCGGUCCUCGAGCGUAUGGGGCUUCGUCACCCGCUCUUGUAGGCCCGGCCGGCGCUUGCCGACACAUCAAUCUUUUUUCCAGGUUGACCUCGGAUCAGGUAGGGAUACCCGCUGAACUUAAGCAUAUCAAUAAGCGGAGGA
rnacentral:misc_RNA from 1 species